CAGCAGCCGCGGGAAUACGAAGGGGGCUAGCGUUGUUCGGAAUUACUGGGCGUAAAGCGCACGUAGGCGGAUACUUAAGUUAGGGGUGAAAUCCCAGGGCUCAACCCUGGAACUGCCUUUAAUACUGGGUAUCUUGAGUUCGAGAGAGGUAAGUGGAAUUCCGAGUGUAGAGGUGAAAUUCGUAGAUAUUCGGAGGAACACCAGUGGCGAAGGCGGCUUACUGGCUCGAUACUGACGCUGAGGUGCGAAAGCGUGGGGAGCAAACAGGAUUAGAUACCCCUGUAGUCCCUGUCUCUUAUAC
rnacentral:rRNA from 1 species